CCUAAUAGGAAUCCCAGGAGAAGGACUCCAAAUGCACCCAGGACGAAUCCAAGGACGGUAAGUGAACUAAAACCUUUUACCCCUCUGGCAGAUUCGUGCUCCUCACUGCUUAAAAGUCUCAGCAUUUUCUGUUCUUCAGUGAAAUGUGUUUAUACAGGGAGGCCUUGACCAGGGUGUGAGGAUCCCACUGCAUGCCUGAAUACUAGAGAUUUCAAAAAU